rnacentral:lncRNA from 1 species
CUCUGCAUACCUCUAUUUUAAGUAACAUUAAAUAAAAGGAUAUUCUAAUAUAAUCAGAAAAGUCGGGUAAUCUUCAGAGCUUCCUAAUAAUGGAAUUUGAAUGAUGGUCAAACUACUAAUAAUAUGUUAAACUAUCCAGAGGAAGAAGUCAAGGAUUGGGGUGUGAUUUACUCUUUCCUUGGACAGCCAAGGUAAUCUGACAAAACAAAACCAUCCAAACUACAAGUCAAGAGGCUUGACAAGCUCUUCCUGGCUUCUCUGAAAUACAAUUCUGGCAGCAACUUUUGAAAGGACAUCAAUUCAAAUACAUAAACAGAAGGACGUGGAUUAAUACAAAGAGGACAACCCUGAGCUCAGAGAGUUCCUAUUUACAUCUCAAAUAACCAAAAAGUUGUGAUCACUCUUUAAAAGUGUAUGCACUGUGGGCCCUUCAUUUCUCUUUUCAGGUCCCUCUGUGGGAGCGAAUAGCAAGGGGACCGGACCUGGUGCAGAGUGUGAGAGAGGGAUUCCUGGUGAAAGGGACAAUGACACGAAGGCUGAAGGCAAGACCUUGCAGGCUUGGUUCAAAGGAGUCAUGAAAUCAUGUUUGAAAAGUACAUUUGCAGCCUUUAAAAAGGAGUAUGAAGGAGGGGUGCCUGGGUGGCUCGGUUGGUUGAGCGACCGACUUCGACUCAGGUCAUGAUCUCACAGCUUGUGAGUUUGAGCCCCACGUCAGGCUCUGUGCUGACGGCUCAGAGCCCGGAUUCUGUGCCUCCCUGUCUCUCUGCCUUAACCCACUGGCAUUCUGUCUCUGUCUCUCUUCAAAAUAAAUAAACAUUAAAAAAAAUUUUUUUAAAGGAG